rnacentral:sRNA from 1 species
CAUAGCAACCUUGUCUCAUUGCCUCUUUUGCUUCGUCCGUCGAUGCAACUAGCACUU